GUUGUGGUGCGAGACCACUAUAGCAGUGCACCUUCUGGUCGUUUGGGUUAAAGUGGACUCUGACUAGUUUAUGGAUAGUCCCGAUUCCCUCAAAAUUUCAAACAUAAGUUUCCCUCUCUAUCUCCACUGGAUUCUCUCUCUCUCACUCUUUCUCUCUCUACAGUUGGAUUUUCAUCCCAUCUUGAGCCAUUUAUUGCCCUAAAAUCUUGCUUGCACUGGCAAUGGUUCGAUUUACUCAGUCACUCGAUCCAUUGGUCACUGAUGCAUUUUAAAGGUACACGGCUAUGAUUCUCAAUCUACUCGUUCAUUCACAAUACAAUGUUUUACUGAAAGUUCUUGAUAAUUCAUAGAAUUUGUUAUGUCUAUCUGUUUUUGAGAGUCGGAUGAUCCAGUCUUUUCUCUAUUAAUUACUGAUAUAUUGUGCAUUUUCUUUUAUCUUGAUGGAUAUGUUAGAACUGAAUAUUAUUGUGUAUAUAGAUUAUCAACAGUCGCAUUUUUCUCUAGCGAUCGCAUAUUUUUUUGUUCUGGUUUGAUUUUCCUUUUUUUUCUAAAUUUUUGGUUAUGAGUAGUAAUAGCUUGACAAGUGGGUUUUCCUAUGCUUACAUUUUUCUUCCGCUAUUUUUUUAUUUUUAUUUUUUAAAAAGCUAAUGGAUUUAUUAUCUGUGUCACCUUUAAUCGGCUUGGUAGCUCAAAUGUUCUUUAUAAUUAAUCUUGACUUUUUAUCUUUUGUUUUGACUUUUGAUCCAGAACUGGGUUUUCCUAUGCUUGAAUUUUUCUUCUGCUGUUUUUCAUUAUAUUUAUAAAAGUCAAUGGAUUAAUUACUUAUGUCACCUUUAAACAGCUUGGUCACUCAAUUGUUCUUUACCUUUAAACGGCUUUGUCACAUUACAUUUAUAAUGUUGUUUUGAUCCACAAUUCCUUAUGAUUUUACUUUCCUGCCAGUGAUUUUUGAGAACUCUUGCAGUUGUUCAUUGUAAUAUAUGAGUGAAUAGCUUGUAUGUUAUUGGCUAAUUCACUAGCAUUAUUUUAUUGUUAUGCAGAGAGAGUAGAGGUUCUCUUCUUUUGGAUUGGUAAUAGAGUAGAGGAAUUUUAUGUGGGAGUGUGGGAUUUGAGGCAUCUUGGUUGAUAUGGCGGAAGUGGUUGUCCAUGAUUUCACCUCCUCAAUUUCAUCAUCAAUCGGACACUGUGCUUCCAAACU
rnacentral:lncRNA from 1 species